GCAUAUCAAUAAGCGGAGGAAAAGAAACUAACAAGGAUUCCCCUAGUAACUGCGAGUGAAGCGGGAUGAGCUCAAAUUUAAAAUCUGGCGUCUCUGGCGCCCGAGUUGUAACCUAUAGAAGCGUUUUCGGCCGCCGGAUGUGGACAAGUCCCUUGGAACAGGGCGUCAUAGAGGGUGAGAGUCCCGUGCUUGCCACAACACCGUUGUGUCCAUGUGAUGCGCUUUCAAAGAGUCGAGUUGUUUGGGAAUGCAGCUCUAAAUGGGACGUAUGUUCGUUCUAAGGCUAAAUAUCAACGAGAGACCGAUAGCGAACAAGUACCGUGAGGGAAAGAUGAAAAGCACUUUGAAAAGAGAGUUAAACAGUACGUGAAAUUGCUAAAAGGGAAGCGCUUGAAGUCAGUCGCGUCUUUGGGGAUUCAGCCUUGACCGGUGCAUUUCCUCCUUGACGGGCCAACAUCGAUUUCUGUCGCGGGAAAAGGGCACGAGGAAUGUGGCAGCUCCGGCUGUGUUAUAGCCUCGCGUCGCACGCCGCGGUGGGGAUCGAGGACCGCAGCUUCGGCUUAGGAUGUUGGCGUAAUGGCUUUAAGCGACCCGUCUUGAAACACGGACC
rnacentral:rRNA from 1 species